rnacentral:rRNA from 1 species
AGCGAACGCUGGCGGCAGGCUUAACACAUGCAAGUCGAGCGGGCAUCCUUGUGGUGUCAGCGGCAGACGGGUGAGUAACGCGUGGGAACGUGCCCUUCGGUUCGGAAUAACUCAGGGAAACUUUAGCUAAUACCGGAUACGUGCGAGAGCAGAAAGGUUUAUCUGCCGAAGGAUCGGCCCGCGUCUGAUUAGCUAGUUGGUGAGGUUAUGGCUCACCAAGGCGACGAUCAGUAGCUGGUCUGAGAGGAUGAUCAGCCACACUGGGACUGAGACACGGCCCAGACUCCUACGGGAGGCAGCAGUGGGGAAUAUUGGACAAUGGGGGCAACCCUGAUCCAGCCAUGCCGCGUGAGUGAUGACGGCCUUAGGGUUGUAAAGCUCUUUUCUCCGGGACGAUAAUGACGGUACCGGAGGAAUAAGCCCCGGCUAACUUCGUG